rnacentral:rRNA from 1 species
UACGUAGGGUGCGAGCGUUGUCCGGAAUUAUUGGGCGUAAAGAGCUCGUAGGCGGCUUGUCGCGUCGGAUGUGAAAGCCCGGGGCUUAACCCCGGGUCUGCAUUCGAUACGGGCAGGCUAGAGUUCGGUAGGGGAGAUCGGAAUUCCUGGUGCAGCGGUGAAAUGCGCAGAUAUCAGGAAGAACACCGGUGGCGAAGGCGGAUCUCUGGGCCAGCACUGACACUGAGGAGCGAAAGCGUGGGUAGCAAACAGG